UACGGGGGGGGCUAGCGUUGUUCGGAAUCACUGGGCGUAAAGCGCACGUAGGCGGAUGUGUCAGUCAGGGGUGAAAUCCCGGAGCUCAACUUCGGAACUGCCUUUGAUACAGCACGUCUUGAGUCCGAUAGAGGUGGGUGGAAUUCCUAGUGUAGAGGUGAAAUUCGUAGAUAUUAGGAAGAACACCGGUGGCGAAGGCGGCCCACUGGAUCGGUACUGACGCUGAGGUGCGAAAGCGUGGGGAGCAAACAGG
rnacentral:rRNA from 1 species